UACGUAGGUGGCAAGCGUUAUCCGGAUUUAUUGGGUGUAAAGGGCGUGUAGGCGGGAGCGCAAGUCAGAUGUGAAAACUCAGGGCACAACCCUGAGCCUGCAUUUGAAACUGUGUUUCUUGAGUGCUGGAGAGGCAAUCGGAAUUCCGUGUGUAGCGGUGAAAUGCGUAGAUAUACGGAGGAACACCAGUGGCGAAGGCGGAUUGCUGGACAGUAACUGACGCUGAGGCGCGAAAGCGUGGGGAGCAAACAGG
rnacentral:rRNA from 1 species